rfam:Gossypium arboreum cultivar AKA8401 contig_4699_5, whole genome shotgun sequence.
UGUUAAAAAUUUCAUCUAUUUCUACUACUAAAAAGUGGCAUAGUUGAUGGAACAACCAGACAGUUACGCGUGGCCUGCCAUGUGUACCUUAUGUUGGCGUAUAUGGAACGAUUUUUAACAGUAGAAAUGGAUGAAUUUUGUAGCA